rnacentral:rRNA from 1 species
UACGUAGGUGGCAAGCAUUAUCCGGAUUUACUGGGCGUAAAGGGUGCGUAGGCGGAUUUUUAAGUGAGAUGUGAAAUACCCGGGCUCAACCUGGGGGCUGCAUUUCAAACUGGAAAUCUAGAGUGCAGGAGAGGAAAGUGGAAUUCCUAGUGUAGCGGUGAAGUGCGUAGAGAUUAGGAAGAACACCAGUGGCGAAGGCGACUUUCUGGACUGUAACUGACGCUGAGGCACGAAAGCGUGGGGAGCAAACAGG